rnacentral:rRNA from 1 species
UACGUAGGGGGCAAGCGUUGUCCGGAAUCAUUGGGCGUAAAGAGCGUGUAGGCGGCCCUAUAAGUCCGCUGUGAAAGUCCAGGGCUCAACCCUGGGAUGCCGGUGGAUACUGUCGGGCUCGAGUCCGGAAGAGGAGUGUGGAAUUCCGGGUGUAGCGGUGGAAUGCGUAGAGAUCCGGAGGAACACCGGUGGCGAAGGCGGGACUCUGGGCCGAUACUGACGCUGAGGAGCGAAAGCGUGGGGAGCAAACAGG